UACGUAGGGGGCAAGCGUUGUCCGGAAUCAUUGGGCGUAAAGCGCGUGUAGGCGGCUCGGUAAGUCUGCUGUGAAAGUCCAGGGCUCAACCCUGGGAUGCCGGUGGAUACUGUCGAGCUCGAGUCCGGAAGAGGCGAGUGGAAUUCCUGGUGUAGCGGUGAAAUGCGCAGAUAUCAGGAGGAACACCAAUGGCGAAGGCAGCUCGCUGGGACGUGACUGGCGCUGAGACGCGAAAGCGUGGGGAGCAAACAGG
rnacentral:rRNA from 1 species